GUUCACUUCAUCAGUACUUAUACUAAAAUUGGAAUAAUACAGAGAAAAGUAGCAUGGCCUCUCUGCAAGGACAACAUACAAAUUUGUGUAGGGUUACAUGUUUUC